rnacentral:rRNA from 1 species
UGGGGAAUAUUGCGCAAUGGCCGAGAGGCUGACGCAGCGACGCCGCGUGCGGGAUGACGCCUUCGGGGUGUAAACCGCUGUUGCCCGGGACGAACGGGAGGUUCAAACCUCCGUGACGGUACCGGGUGAGGAAGCACCGGCUAACUCCGUGCCAGCAGCCGCGGUAAUACGGAGGGUGCGAGCGUUGUCCGGAAUCACUGGGCGUAAAGGGCGCGUAGGCGGUCUCUCAAGGCUCGUGUGAAAGUCCGGGGCUCAACCCCGGAUCGGCAGGGGCGACUGAGAGGCUGGAGCUCUGUAGAGGCGGGCGGAAUUCCGGGUGUAGCGGUGGAAUGCGUAGAGAUCCGGAAGAACACCGGUGGCGAAGGCGGCCCGCUGGGCAGUGGCUGACGCUGAUGCGCGACAGCGUGGGGAGCAAACAG